ACAAAAACAAGUUCAUUGCGCAACGCGAACUGUCGUCUGGCGACAAGCAAUCGUAUUUCACAUCGACGGUUUAUUUGCUUAAUUUAAGGUUUAAAACAGUGAUAUAAAAUGUGUAAGUUUAUGAAUUUGCAUAAAAUAUAAUUUAUAUCAACAUUUACAUCAAAAGGUUUUACUUUUUUUAAUCAUUUACAAACUUAAAGUUUACGACAUACUUGCGCCGAUUUCCGGUAAUUUCCCAAAUCUCGAUGUAAACAACAAGUCGGAAUGACAAAAACUGAUGGAUAUUAUUAGUGUAUGACGAAUAUUGCGAGCACAAACUGAUGUCGGGUGUCAUAAAAAGGGAAUGGAAAAAAGGACGAGACCAUACACCAGUUCCCUGUGAUCUAAACCUGCCAUUUGCAAGCAGUAAGCAUGACUUUCCAAACCUCCAAGAGAUGAGAACAUCACUGGUAUGUGUUAACGAGGUCAUUCCUAAUACAAGACACAAUGCGGAAAAAUAUAAGACUAAUGUAAAGAACUGAAACCAUGAGUGAUGAAGAGAAGAGCUGAUAAUCAGAUUAUUGUCUCUGUUAUGUUCAUCCUGAUAAAGCCUUUCCCGAUUGAUGCCCUGGAUCAUUUAUUUGGUAAUUUAAGGAUGACAAUAUUUAUUUCAACAUUUAUGAUAUAAUAUUAAGACAAUUAAUAAGCAGCACAACAUAUCCUGAAAUAUGAAACUGGACCAAACCAGUGAUAAUCUACCAUUUAUGAUUUAUUACAUUUACUUGGAUUUGAAAACCAUUUCUGAAACUCCAAAAGUCAUGAAUAAUUUGGACAUAUAAUGCAUACAAUUAAGAAUUAGUAUUGUAAAAGAAUAUAUAUUAUGAUAAUGCAUAUGCUAUAAGAAAUACAAUUGAUAGAUAUCAAUUCAAAAGGUGUUUAUACUGACCAAGUGCAGUAAUGAAGUUUGUAAUGGCUAUAUACUGUUCAUGUGGAGAAACUGGUUUUUGAAAUAUAUGUCUUAUGUUUAUAAUUAUGUUUAAUUUGAUGAUUGCAUAGUAUAUCAAAUCAUCAUUUCUGUCUAUUAGUGUCUGUCUGUCCAUCCAUUUAUCUGUAUGAAGUCUGUUUUAUUUUAUAACCCUGAUGAGGUUACUGAUGUAGAUCAAGUUGAGAUCAUCAUUAUGACAGUUAUAUACAACAAGCCUCACAGAAAAUAUCAGUCCUCUAAAUUACAGAGUUUUUGAAUGAGUUUAAAAUGAAUGUAUCGUUGAGUAAAAUUUUUAUUUUUAAUAUUUUUUGAAAUGAUUUUUGUGAAUAAGAAUAUUUUUUGUUAUAACUUAUCCUUAUCUAUUUUUUUAUCAUUUUUGCAUGAAAAAAAAUAUACAUAUCCUAGUAAGGCCACACCAAUAUAAUUUCUUGCUUGUCGGACAUUAAGUGGAAAAGGGUACAAGCGGGCUAGCGAUAAAAUAAUAAGAUUAUUAUUUUUUGUAGCCAAAAUUUUGAGGCGGUCCAUAAUGAUAUGAUUUGUAAAGUUUUAUUUAAACACGAGCAUGCAGGAUCCGAUAAAAAAGAAAUUUAAUUGGUGUGGCCUUCCACAUUUUCUAUAUUUUAGUUCAAAUUGAGGCUGAACCAUUGUAAUAUAUUACCCUGCAUAAUCAUUCUGAUAAAGUCUCAAUCAUACAUUAUAAAUAGCAUCGAGACCAAUAUGGGGACCAAGGAAGGGUUCAAAGUUCAAAGGAAUUAUAGGAUUGCAUACAAUCAUGUAUAUACAUAAGGACAAAUCAUAAAUCAUUUCAGAAUCUGCAGUGUUGUUUAGUCCAAUCAGAUAAUAUGAUUUAAAGAAUUAUCAUGAUUAAGUAUCAAAUUUCAUUUUAUACCUGUAAUCAUUUGAAAGAUUCUCCUAUUUUCAGACACCCAUUUUAAUGCAAUACCUUACAAAUCAGACAAAACUUUUAAAGAUUGAUAGAGGAAAUUCAAAUUAAUUACAAUCAGUAUAUGAUUUUUAUGAAACCUGUGAUUUAUUUGGUUUGAUUGUAUUUUAAAUCUUUCAAAAAAGGCUUAAUAAAGAUUGUGUGUAUUAAAGUUUU